AUACGAGGGGUCCUAGCGUUGUUCGGAAUCAUUGGGCGUAAAGCGGGUGUAGGUGGACUAUUAAGUCAGAAGUGAAAGCCCUGGGCUCAACCCAGGAAGUGCUUUUGAUACUGGUAGUCUUGAGUGUGGGAGAGGAUAGCGGAAUUCCUGGUGUAGUGGUGAAAUACGUAGAUAUCAGGAGGAACAUCGGUGGGGAAGCCGGCUGUCUGGCCUAACACUGACACUCAGACCCGAAAGCGUGGGGAUCAAACAGGAUUAGAUACCCUAGUAGUCC
rnacentral:rRNA from 1 species